CACGUAGGGCGCAAGCGUUGUCCGGAAUUAUUGGGCGUAAAGAGCUCGUAGGCGGCUUGUCGCGUCGUCCGUGAAAACCUGCGGCUCAACUGCAGGCUGGCGGUCGAUACGGGCAGGCUGGAGUUCGGUAGGGGAGACUGGAAUUCCCAGUGUAGAGGUGAAAUUCGUAGAUAUUGGGGAAGAACACCGGUGGCGAAGGCGGCGCUCUGGACCGAGACUGACGCUGAGGCGCGAAAAGCCAGGGGGAGCAAACGGG
rnacentral:rRNA from 1 species